rnacentral:rRNA from 1 species
UACCCGCUGAACUUAAGCAUAUCAAUAAGCGGAGGAAAAGAAACUAACAAGGAUUCCCCUAGUAACUGCGAGUGAAGCGGGAAGAGCUCAAAUUUGAAAUCUGGCGGUYCUGCCGUCCGAGUUGUAAUCUGGAGAAGCGUYUUCCGUGCCGGACCGUGUACAAGUCCCUUGGAACAGGGCGUCAUAGAGGGUGAGAAUCCCGUCUUUGACACGGACUCCCGGUGCUCUGCGAUGCGCUCUCGAAGAGUCGAGUUGUUUGGGAAUGCAGCUCAAAAUGGGUGGUAAAUUCCAUCUAAAGCUAAAUAUUGGCGAGAGACCGAUAGCGAACAAGUACCGUGAGGGAAAGAUGAAAAGCACUUUGGAAAGAGAGUAAAACAGUACGUGAAAUUGUUGAAAGGGAAACGCUUGGAGUCAGUCGCGUCUUCCGGAACUCAGCCUUGCUUCUGCUAGGUGCACUUUCCGGUUCGACGGGUCAGCAUCGGCUUUGGGAGGCGGACAAAGGCGCGGGGAAGGUGGCAGCUCCGGCUGUGUUAUAGCCCCGCGUUGUACGCGUCUCCCGGGACCGAGGAAUCCGGCGCUCGUCGCCUGGGAUGCUGGCGUAAUGGCUUUAAGCGACCCGUCUUGAAACACGGACCAAGGAGUGCUACAUGCUCGCGAGUGUUUGGGUGGAAAACCCGAGCGCGCAAUGAAAGUGAAAGUCGAGACCCUUUGCGGGGGCACCGACGCCCGAGCCUGAAGUUUACGGACGGCCUUGCGGUAGAGCGAGUAUGUUGCGACCCGAAAGAUGGUGAACUAUUCCUGAGGAGGGCGAAGCCAGAGGAAACUCUGGUGGAGGCUCGUAGCGGUUCUGACGUGCAAAUCGAUCGCAGGACUUGGGUAUAGGGGCGAAAGACUAAUCGAACCAUCUAGUAGCUGGUUCCUGCCGAAGUUUCCCUCAGGAA